rnacentral:rRNA from 1 species
UAAAUAGAAUCUUAUUUUUAUUUAUUUACUUAUUUUACUUGAAAUAACAUUUGUUUUAGUAUAUUUUUUAGAAAUAUUAUUUUUUAUUAUAGUUAAUGUGUACUGUAAAGGUUAUUUAUUUUUUAUUUAUAAGUAUAAUUUUUUUUAGUACCUUUUGUAUCAGGGUUUAUUAAAAAAUUAAUAUAUAUAUAUUAUUCCCGAAGUUUAGAGAGAUAAAUUGAAUUGAUUUUUUAUGUUUCAUAAUAAUUUUAAAAUUUAAUUUAGUGGUUAUAUGCUAUUCAAUCUAAAAUAUCUGGUUUUUUAAUAAAUAAAUUUAAUUUACAAUUAUUGUGGUUUAUUUAAUAUUUUAUUUAAUUUAAUUCAAUAAUUGAAUGUCAUGAGGGAUUAGCUUUGUGAUAAUAUUAUAAUAUUUUUGAAUUAUUAUCUAAUGUAGGCUUAAUAACAGCCAUCUUAAUUUCGUUAUAGUUUAUGAUAAUGUGUUUAUUUAUUUAUUUUUUAUUUAAUUUUUUAUUAAAAUGAUUUAUUUAAUUUUUAUUUAAAUGUAAUAAUGAUAAAAUUAGUAAUCUUGAUAAAUUUAAUAUAGUAAUUCGGCAAAAUUAAUUCUCGCCUGUUUAACAAAAACAUGUCCUAUUGUUUAUAUAAUAUUAGGUCUAUCCUGCUCAGUGAUUUAUUAAAUAGCCGCAGUAUUUUGACUGUGCAAAGGUAGCAUAAUCAUUUGUUUUUUAAUUGAAAACUUGUAUGAAUGGGUGGACGAGGAAUUAACUUUCUUUAUUAAAAUUAAGUUUAAUUUAAUUUUUUAGUUAAAAAGCUAAAAUUUAUAUUUAAGACGAGAAGACCCUAUAGAAUUUUAUUAAUCUUUUUACAUCUAAAAUUAAUUUUUGCUUUUAGAUGUAAAAAGAUUAAUUUGGUUGGGGUGACUAUGAAAUUAAAAUAACUUUCAUUAUUUAUGUUUCAUUGAUUUAUGUUUUUAAGAUCCUGUAUUAUGGAUUAUAAGAUUAAAUUACCUUAGGGAUAACAGCGUAAUUUCUUUGGAGAGUUCUUAUCGAUGAAGUGAGUUUGCGACCUCGAUGUUGGAUUAAAGUAAGAGUUAGGUGUAGAAGCUUAAUUUCUAGGUCUGUUCGACCUUUAAAUCUUUACAUGAUCUGAGUUCAGACCGGCGUGAGCCAGGUUGGUUUCUAUCUAAAUAUUAAAAAUUUCUUCUUAGUACGAAAGGACCAGUGGAAAAUAAAAUUUAUUUAUUUUUUGAUUAUUAUU